rnacentral:hammerhead_ribozyme from 1 species
AUUCAGCUGAAGAGUCGCAAAUAUGAUGAGACGCGCAUCCUGGAU